rnacentral:rRNA from 1 species
CAGCCAUUUGGUGAAAUCCCAGCUUUUCAAGACGGAGACCUCGUGCUCUUUGAGUCCCGUGCCAUCGCCAAGUACGUGCUCCGCAAACACAGGACGGAUGAGGUCGACAUGCUGAGGGAAAGCAACCCGGAGGAAGCGGCGACGGUGGACGUCUGGGCCGAGGUCGAGCACCAGUACAGCAAAGCAGUCGCACCUAUCGUCUACGAGUGCAUCGUGUACCCCACGGCCUACGGCAUACCGACGAACCAGAAGGUCGUGGACGAGAGCGUGGAGAAGCUGAAGAAGGUGCUUGAGGUCUACGAAGGCCGUCUGUCGAAGCAGGAGUACCUGGCGGGAAGCUUCAUCAGCGUCGCGGACCUCAACCAUUUCCCCUUCACGCUCCGCUUCAUGGAGACUCCGUAUGCGUCCGUGUUCGACUCAUUCCCUUCCGUGAAAGCGUGGUGGGAAAAGCUCAUGCUUAGGCCUUCCAUGAAGAAGGUCAGCGCCGACAUGCAGAGAAAGGUCUAA